UGCAUACUCCAAAAGCGGAGGAAAAGAAACCAACAGGGAUUGCCUUAGUAGCGGCGAGUGAAGCGGCAAAAGCUCAAAUUUGAAAUCUGGCGUAUUCUGCGUCCGAGUUGUAAUUUGAAGAAGGAUACUUUGGGGUUGGCUCUUGUCUAUGUUUCUUGGAACAGAACGUCACAGAGGGUGAGAAUCCCGUGCGAUGAGAAGCCCAAUUCCGUGUAAAGUGCCUUCGAAGAGUCGAGUUGUUUGGGAAUGCAGCUCUAAGUGGGUGGUAAAUUCCAUCUAAAGCUAAAUAUUGGCGAGAGACCGAUAGCGAACAAGUACAGUGAUGGAAAGAUGAAAAGAACUUUGAAAAGAGAGUGAAAAAGUACGUGAAAUUGUUGAAAGGGAAGGGCUUGAGAUCAGACUUGGUAUUUUGUAUGUCUUGCUUUCGGGUGGGGCCUCUGCAGUUUACUGGGCCAGCAUCGGUUCGGGUGGUAGGACAAUUGCGAAGGAACGUGGCACUGCUUCGGUGGUGUGUUAUAGCCUUUGUGGAUACUGCCUGUCUGGACCGAGGACUGCGUCAUUUGACUAGGAUGCUGGCAUAAUGAUCUUAAGUCGCCCGUCUUGACCAACGGGGCACA
rnacentral:rRNA from 1 species